ACCAUAAUCCGUUGCUCACUCAAUUGUUUGUCUGAUGCAGCUGACACUUUUGAAUACCAGAAGUUUGUAAAACACUUCAAUCCGUCACUAAAUGUAGAUACUUUAGAGAUAAAUACGUUGGAUAUCAGCAACUUGUAAAGCACUUCAGUCUGAAGCUUUUAUUGCUGUUUUAGUGAGGGAGGUGGUACAAUAACGGGUACAAAAGUAUAAUUUUCAAGAAACAGCGCACUGUAGCUAUAAUAGUACAAUUUUCAAGGAACGAAACACUGUAGCUAUUAGUCACUUUUCUUAUAAAAAAAAAAGAAAAAGACUUGGAAAUCAGACUGUUUUAGCUUUUGUUAAUGUAAAACUAUACUGGACAUCAACGAUUAGUAAACCACUAAAAUCUGUUCACAAUUCAGCUAUUUUUGCCGUAAAAUAAAUUAGUGGAUGCUAUACGUAUUAUAUGACUUCUUAAUCCUCGUAAAGUUACUACGUGUUAUAAAAUUUUGCGAAAUAUUUUUUCACUCACCACUCACGCUUAAAUCAUACGAUUUAAAAUCCAGCAAGCAUGUAAAACCUACUAUACACCAAACCGAAACGCCAAAUUUAUUACCAAAAUCGAAAUAAAAAUAAAAGAAAGCAAGAAACGUCAGAUCGAAGGAAAUUCAAUCAUCGGAGAAGCUGCGGAAGAAAGCCGGCUCCUGGCAAGACACUUCGCGGCAGGAGUGCGCGCAAUUGCCGCAGUGAGCAACAAGUGUCUCCCGUUUGACGUUCGUUUGGAUAUCUGCUGAUGGGCAUUCGGGAAGUUUUCGUAUUCAGUCACAAGUUCUAGGGUUACAGCUCGGCUGAAAGUUAACUGGAUAUCGCCAAGGGAGAGAAGGUUCGUUUUAUUUAUUACGGAACGUUUCGUUGUCGUUCUCUCUUUCUCUCUCCGUCGUUCUGUGAGAGAAGAAUCAAUUUGUUCGCGUGUUACCUGAUAAGAUACAGAGACUUAAAAUUUAAAACGAGUACACUCGCUUGCGUUGUAUGUGUACGAUUUGUUCCUCAAAACGGGUAUCAAUGUGAAAUAGAAAAGUUAUCAUCUUGUACAAGAAAGAAUGGUUUUGUAAAGAAAGUUUUCACCUACUGAUGAGCGAUGGAAACUUCGAAAGGAAUGACAUUGAAACUAAAAAUUGCAACCCGUGUUAAGCAAAGCAUCAGUUCCUCUUGGGGACAGCCCCCUACAUGAAUGGUACAAAGCAUCCCGCCCUGGUGCUGCUUUACUUCGGGCAAGUAGUAGAGAACAUCAAACCGUCCUAGCCCGACUGAGAAGUGGACAGACACACUCGAGCACAACGACAUGUGGCUGGUAUUAAAGUUUUCCCCUUGUGCCCAAAAUGCAAUUUGACUCAGGCUGCUCCCGCCCAUAUUUUCUCUAGCAUCGGCUGUCACCUGAAUCAGCUGUAUUCUGACCCUUCUGCUGUUUUGGAGGGACUUUGUUCGCACGGCUUCAUGGACUUGGUUUGAUGUUUCUGUCUGCCAAGUGGGACAAGCAACAACAACAUACACUUUUCUUUGUAUCAUGAAUUUUUUUGGGAAUUUUUUAAAAAUUAUUUCUUUACUGUAUGGUAUUUUUAAACAACGUCUGCAGCUGUGAAGACGAAAUUGAUUGCCCAAAAGCAAAAAACGCAAGAAAGGACAAAUGAAACAACUUCGCCUGCAGUUAAAAUAAAUUAAAUUUAUGAUGUAUUUAUUCAGAACUACUCACGCAUUAAGAAUAUGUAACACAUUUCGCCAAAGCAUUGUUCCUUCUGAUAAGAAUUAAACCCCUGAUCAAAAAAAAAAAAAAAAAACUGAACACGCUGUAAUUCAUUAAGCACUUACUUCCAUCACUUUAAUUCAAAAUGUUGAUUAAAAUAAUAAAUGAUCCAUCAUGUAGGCAAAUAAAAUGUCAAGUCAGUAUUUAUAGGAUACAAAUUUUACCAAUCCAUCAUAGUGGAAAAAGUGAUGGAUAAUAUCACUAACAAUUCUUUUGAGCUAUUUAAGAUGGAAUGGUUGCUUCUUUACCAAUAAUAUAAGCAAAAUAAUGCAUGUCCACCUGUCUAUCUACUUAUCAAUCUGCAUUUCAAAUAGAACCAAGGCCAUUCAACCGGUUUUCUUGGAAUUUGGUUCAGAAAUACUUACAUUAAAGUGAUAUUUGCACUACUCACACAAAUCGCGCGCCA